rnacentral:rRNA from 1 species
AGAUUGAACGCUGGCGGCAGGCCUAACACAUGCAAGUCGAGCGGUAGAGAGGUGCUUGCACCUCUUGAGAGCGGCGGACGGGUGAGUAAUGCCUAGGAAUCUGCCUAGUGGUGGGGGAUAACGUUCGGAAACGGACGCUAAUACCGCAUACGUCCUACGGGAGAAAGCGGGGGACCUUCGGGCCUCGCGCCAUUAGAUGAGCCUAGGUCGGAUUAGCUAGUUGGUGAGGUAAUGGCUCACCAAGGCGACGAUCCGUAACUGGUCUGAGAGGAUGAUCAGUCACACUGGAACUGGGACACGGUCCAGACUCCUACGGGAGGCAGCAGUGGGGAAUAUUGGACAAUGGGCGAAAGCCUGAUCCAGCCAUGCCGCGUGUGUGAAGAAGGUCUUCGGAUUGUAAAGCACUUUAAGUUGGAGGAAGGUUGUAACUUAAUACGUUGCAACUUUGACGUUACCGACAGAAUAAGCACCGGCUAACUUCGUGCCAGCAGCCG